rnacentral:lncRNA from 1 species
UAAAAGGGUGGUAUUUACAUGACGUGUUUGCAAAGAUUCUAAAAUGCAGACGUGUAGAGGCGAGUUUUGAUGUCCCUCUAUAUCCUAUAGCUAGGAUCAGUUAGAUAAUAUUGGUUCACUUCUUAGUAUUUAGUUAAGGAAUCUGAAAUAACACUGCAACUUGCUUCAUUGGUGAAGCAAACCUGGUAAUUUGUACUGAAGUAUUCAGUAAAUUUCAAUAGUUAGUUUCAGUAUUGGCUUACCUCCCCUUUCAUUUCCAUUCCCUGAUUACCUGCCCAUGCUAUUUUUUAUAUACAUACCUAUUUCAUUAUUCCCUCUCUAUGCAAUGGUAUGUAACCAAGAGAUGUAUAAGCUUCUAAAAUUAUUACACUUAAUUAUAUAAUUUUUAUGUUUUCUACACAAACUGUUGCACUUGAGAUAAUCGACUGUAAUUCUUAUAAGUGCAAACUGUCUUUCAUUUUGUUAUUUUUUUUCAUGCUGGCUUAGCUUGCUGCUCCUCACAGUUUGAUUAGAAAUCAUUUUACAAGGAGUUUUUAUAUUUUGUUACAACUUUGAGAUAUGUGAACACUUUUUCAAUUUGUUAGGGUUAAAUGUUUCUUGGAUUUUUUACACAAAAACAAAUCUUUUAAUCAUCAUGACCAAAGUAUACGUUCAAUUUCUUUUUCUGAUUUUUUUUGCCAGGGAUAAUUUAGUUUUGGCUAAAAUGUGUUGAUCAGUUUUCUGUUUGUUAAUACAAACUGACAGGAAAUUUGAUACAGAGAAGUUUUCAACUUUUGUCUGGUUCUGAACUGAAUUUAAUUUUCAAUAAAUUUAAGUGAAUAUGUGUCAUUUCUAGCUUUACUGUUUAUUGGUUUUGCACAUCAAAAUAAUUCCCUUUCAUAUUUUAACUACGAUAUAAUAAUUAUUAAUAUAUGAUUGAGAAACAAAGAUUUACAAACACUAAUCCUUAGAACUGUACUUUCUGUUGUAAUUCCAGGAAAUAUUGAGUGUUUGAAAAAGGGAUACUUUCUGAAAUUCAAGUGUAAUUAUUCUUUUAUAAUUGUUUUAUUUCAGAUGUUUUAAAAGGUGUUUGUUGAUAUUAAAUCUGUAUAGGCAUACGUGCAUAUUAGUUUCGUUUUAAAACCGUUAUAUAUGAAACUUGAAAAAUGAAUUUCCCUGUUAGACACAAUUGACCUCUCAAGUUAACCUUUUCUAAUUAGAAUAUUCAUGCUGGCCAGGUCUUCUCGGCUUAUAAACACUAAUUAACACAUGUGAUAGGUUACAAAAACAAAGACCAUGCUAUCUCUUGUUUACCAUCCAUUUGAUAUGAUAUUCGUUGCUGGUCUGCGCAUGUUCAACAGUCGAAGGAAAAAACCCACUUUGACUUGAGGUCGUGAAACUUGGUCAGGAAAUAUGAAGCCUGUAGCUGUAGUCAUUUGAGUCCCAAAGGAACUACGUGAUUCCACAUGGCAAGUUUGCCGCACCGACCUAACUCUGUAUCAGAUAACAGCCUGUAAAAGUAUACCUAUAACAGAGACAGAGCUAUACUCUGUAUCAGAUUACAGCCUGUAAAGGUAUACCUAUAACAGACACUGAGCUAUACUCUGUAUCAGAUUACAGCCUGUAAAAGUAUACCUAUAACAGAGACCGAGCUAUACUCUAUCAGAUUACAGCCUUUAAAGGUAUACCUAUAACAGAGACCGAGCUAUACUCUGUAUCAGAUUACAGCCUGUAAAAGUAUACCUAUAACAGAGACCGAGCUAUACUCUGUAUCAGAUUACAGCCAGUAAAAGUAUACCUAUAACAGAGAACGAGCUAUACUCUGUAUCAGAUUACAGCCUGUAAAGGUAUACCUAUAACAGAGACCGAGCUAUACUCUAUAUCAGAUUACAGCCUGUAAAAGUAUACCUAUAACAGAGACCGAGCUAUACUAUGUAUCAGAUUACAGCCUGUAAAGGUAUACCUAUAACAGAGACCGAGCUAUACUCUGUAUCAGAUUACAGCCUGUAAAAGUAUACCUAUAACAGACCGAGCUAUACUCUGUAUCAGAUUACAGCCUGAAAAGGUAUACCUAUAACAGAGACCGAGCUAUACUCUGUUUCAGAUUACAGCCUGUGAAAGUAUACCUAUAACAGACCGAGCUAUACUCUGUAUCAGAUUACAGCCUGUAAAAGUAUAAUAACUAAAGGUCAACACGACAGGUCAUUGUGGUUGGACUUCAGCAUUCCUGUAAAGAUAUUAUUGUAAACAAUUCUCAUUUUGUAUUGAAAGUAUACUUAUUUUAGUGGUAGUUUUAUUUUUAUUUUUUUUGCGCGCGUUUGAAAAUUCUUUUAUAUUGCUUUCCGUUUCCUUUUUUGAGGAUUUAACAAUUCAUUAAUGCGCUGAUCUGUUAGAAUGUGAUAUUGCACAAAUUUUGAUAUUGCACUGAAAUUAUAGUGCGCUUAAAUAAGUAUGUUAACAAUAUGUUUUUUUGCAAUCUGUUACACUUGCCAGUAUUCAAGUAGUAACACUUCAAGAAUUCUACACUCCAAAAAAAUACAACUUAGUCUAAUGGAAGUGGAUUUUUAUCCGAUUUCUGGAAUAUUCUUAUUGAUUUCUCUUACAGUUAUAAACCAGAACUGUAAGCUAAAGGCUUACUAAGGCAAAGCAUUGCAUUCUUAGGCCAAGGGCACUCAAUUUGGUACAAACGGUGGGUGUGCCCUCCUCCUCCUUGGGGCAGAGGAGAGGGGCCUUAUAGGAUAAAUAAACAAUAAACUUUUAAAAUCGUUCUUCUACCAUAGGAAAUAAGGGAUUUCAUCCCAAUUUGGUUUGGUUUGGAGGAUCCUGGGGCCAAGGGCACUCAAUUUUGUAUAAAUGGUGGUCGUGGUCCCCUAGGACAGAUGGGUGGGGCCCAAUAGGGGAAAUAGAGGUAAACCUUUGAAAUCCUUCUCCUACAAUAGGGAUUCAAGAUUUUAUCCCAAUGUUGUCUCCAUCAACUUGUCUAGUAACUUCGUUGUAGGGGUAUAAAAAAAAUGAAAGACUAAAGUCUUCAUUUUAGAUUCCUCACAAUGUGUAAAUGCAGGAUAAAAAUUGUAAAUAUGCGAAAAAAAUAUGCAAUGUUCAGUCUGGGCUUAUGGCUGGUAAUAAGCCCACCCCUACAUUUGACACGUUUCCAUGCACAGGUCCCUUGGCUUAUCACCAGUAAAACACCUUACCAGAAACCAAAUGUAGGAAACCUGUUUGAGCAGUCACUUUCAUACUUUUGUCUCCAAUUGAUUAUUUCUUGAUUAAUCUUCAAAAUUUGGCCGAAAAACAAAAUAUUGACGGAAGUAUAUUUACCUUGUCCAAAGGAAUAUUUUUGGAGUAUUUGAGCUCUUGCUCUUGAUCUGCUUAUAAAAAUGUGUUAACCGUUUCACCCUAUGUAACUUUAGUAGACUCUACUAUUCAUUGAUUUGGAUGAGUCCAUUAGGGUCAACAGUGGUGAAAGGGUUAAAGUGUUUAUGUUGUUAAAUUUUUGCGAUAAAGUUUGAUGGUUCUGUGUUCAGGUAAUCAUUUCAGGGUUUCUCCUCCGACUGAUAAAUGUACUUACUUCACAAUUUCCUCAGGACUUGUCACUUGAUACAGCCCAUCACCUGGUUGCUUUGUUGCUGUACAUAUAGUUUUUUAGAAUAUGUGUUGUUAAAAUUGGUUCAGCUUUUUAGAUUAAUAAACAGUUCACUCAUGUUAUU